AAUAACCAUAUAUCUGAGGGCUUCCUUUUAUUAUUUCAUUAAUACAUAACAGCAUACCAGCAAACUGAUGCCCCAAAAUACACUUUGACAUAACAAAAGCUUUUCUCAUUUUUCCAUUACAGCAUCAGAGUAUUGUUGGGUGGUAUGCUGUAAUUAUAUCAGUCCAGAGCCUCAAAACUGAACCAGAAAAAGCAUACAGGAAAGUCUGUGAAUCUAGCCUCAUGGCCUGAGAUAUAUGCCACACGUGCCCUAUCCCUAGAAAGGAGCUUCCUGGACUCCACUCAGAAUCCAUCUAAUGUGAGCUUGCAUUCUUACCACCAUUCCUUUCCACAGACACAUUGAUUUCAACAGGACCUACAGUAUGCACGACUCUGCAACCACUGCUGUUUAGCUGGCAAUGAAUGUUUUCCUUUGUGGGAAGGUAAAGUGAAAUUCUUUUCAGCCAGCAGCACCAGGGAUAUUAUGUUAUUCCACACAUUCAACUGCAUGUUCCCUGGGGGAAGUAGGUUGGUUGUGCAAGACCUCAAAACCAACUAUAACUGUGCAACCUGAAUUUGCCAGUAUGUGACUCAAUCCCAUCUGACAAUCAGACAGCGUGGAAGCACCCUGGGUCAAGGAAAGAAACCACAACGAUGCUUCCAGUGUAUCCUAGCCACUAGUUCAAGCUCAAAUUCUUUGGAAGAGAGGCAAUUCCAUGAGGAAUUCACA